rnacentral:rRNA from 1 species
CCCUUAGAUGUCCUGGGCCGCACGCGCGUUACACUGAUGCAUUCAACGAGCUUAUAACCUUGGCCGAGAGGCCUGGGCAAUCUUGUUAACGUGCAUCGUGAUAGGGAUAGAUUAUUGAAAUUAUUAAUCUUGAACGAGGAAUUCCUAGUAAACGCAGAUCAUCAAUCUGCAUUGAUUACGUCCCUGCCCUUUGUACACACCGCCCGUCGCACCUACCGAUUGAAUGGUCCGGUGAAAUCUCCGGACUGGCGUGAGUCGGAGCAAUCUGACAAACACCGGAAAGUUGAUUAAACCUUACCAUUUAGAGGAAGGUGAANUCGUAACA